UAGGAGGCAGCAACUAUAUGGGUAUGUGCGCGGCGGACGGUGCGCGGCAGGUGCGCGGGCCGCUGUCGCGACAUGGCGGGGGCUUGCCUGUCGCGAUGUGUGUGUGUGUGUGUGUGUGUGUGCGGGGGAAAAGCCAAGUGACAGCCGAGCUGCGGUUUGUUGAGGGGGGUGUGUGUGAGGAGGGACGGGACUGCGUUGCUUUCCUCGCUGCGUGGGUAUCCCGAAUGGAGCCAAAAUAGCACCGAUUCCCCCCCAAAACACCCCGGGUGUGGGGGGGGGCCGGUCCGCAUUUCGAAGUGCGUAUGGAGAAAACAAGAUGCGGGAGGGGAACGGGGGGGGUGGGGGGGUGGGAAGGAGGAGGAGGAGGGCGGGGAGGGCCGGGCCGCGCCGCCGCUCGCCCGGGUCCGUGACACAGGCGGUGCCGCCGGCAGCGGGGUCUGUUUAGCACGUCCCCUCCCGCAGCUCCUGCGCGGGUGAUGGAGGCGGCCCCACAGGUGGGUGCGCGCAUGAUGAAUUGCUUUUGGAACCUACUCAGCUGUCCUUGGAGUCAGUGGGAGGCUUUAACUUCAUUUUCCCAGGAGGGCAGUGAGGCUCACUCUCACUGCAGUGCCUCUCUGCUGGUUUUCAUGGCCGUUCUGCCACCCCGCUGCCGCAGCCAGCGCGAAUCCGAGUGCCGCGGCUACAAAGGCUUGUUGCUUCCUCGUGCUGGAUACCUCAAAUCCAAGAGCUACUCGGCAGUUUCCAAGGCAACCACCUGUGGAAUAAUUAAACAGGAUGGAGUGUUCCUGUGCCAGAUAUAAGGGAUUCUUGCCUGGAGAGAGCACUUCAUCUGUCUUGAAGAAUCAAAUGUGCUUCUGCCAGCAAAGUUAAGCUUAGGGAAGCGUAGAAGAAAAGGGAAUGUUGUUCUGCUCCACAUGCCAUAGUCAUGGAUCCUUCCAGCAGCCUGCAGUUUGGGAGCCCUGAGCCACAGCCCCAUGUUUGCUUCCAUGGAUUAAUCCUGUGUCAACCCUGUUGUCUUUGGUGUCCAAGAGCUGUGCAUUACACAGGAUGUAGAGAGACAAGUAUUGCUAAGAAGCAGUUCUUCCACUAACAUGGGGAUAGCCAUGACAAGAUGGGAUCAACAGCCUCGGCUGGCUUAGGAAGUGCCCGUCUCCACUCUGGUUGUCCAGAAGAGCUUAAAUGAAUGAGGAAACCCCCAACAUCUUCACCAGAAGAAAUGGAGAGGAGAAACAGCGACUGAGUUGUACAACCAGGACAAUCCAAAAUGCAAAAAAGUCAAGUACGAAACAGGAACAAGAAGUGCCUCCCUCCCCCAUUGUACAGGCACCAGGUCUGGCUCCUUUCUGCAUGCAGAAGCAGGUGACUCAAAGCAGGAGCUAGCAGAUGGCUGCAUCGUUAGCUGGUGCCCACAGCCUUACGGGAUGAGGUUUGGAAUUCCCAUCAAAGUCGGGAUUAAGCGCUCAGGAUAUGCUGGUGGCACCGAGCACGCCGAGGCCGGGGGGGAGAGCCUGGAAGAAGAGGAAAUCAUUCCUAGCGACUCAUCCUGUGGUUGGUGGGCAAGUUUUCAGCUGGUGAUUUAUCAACAAAAGUAUUUUACAGGAUCAGAGUUAAAAGCUCUUCUUAAAACAAAUCUCCCCUUGUGCGAUAGGGAAAGUAAAAGCAGCUCGGGUUCCAAAGGAUGGAGGAAUAACCGAAAGAGCUAGUUCUUGGAAUAGUAGCUCCAUUGGCACUCGCUGGUGAUUUCCUGUGCAUUUGCUGCAAGAAUCACUCUGUGAUCCAAAAUGGAGCUGCAUCAGGACGGGUGCCUGCACCAAGCGAGGUGGUGCUUUGGAGCUGUUUGGUUCUGUUCUGGAAGCAGAUGGGCUGCCACUAGCAGGAGACAGUUGGCUUCUCCAUCCGAAAGGGGUGCUUAAGGGAAUUGGUCUGGCUCCUAAACCAAAGGAAUUGUUGACCUACUGACUCAGUUCGGAAGCAUUAGGGAAGCAGUCUUCCUGUGGUUUCUUUUGUUGGUGGCAGCUUCAGAAGACUUCUGUGAGCAUACAGGGAUGAGGAGCAACAGGAGAGAGUUCUGAUACCUGCUGCCUGUGGGAUUUAUGUAGAGCCAGGAGCGAGCUGAUGGCUGAGUAACGCUUAACCUUGUAUGUGAGAUGCUUCUGCUGGUAAUGCAUUGAGGGCCCUAUUUCAAGCUCAGGAGGAGCAGUACACAUGGCUGCUGUGGCAACAGAUGCAAAGCCCUGCCGUGGUGGGAGAGCAGGGUUUGUUCUCAUCUUCCACAUCAUCACAGCUUCCUGCACUGCACCACCCUGCGUCUGGGCACUAAGAGCACCUGGCAUGAAGACAAGAGACAUACCCAGCGCUGCCAGGCAGCAGCAAACCUAGCACAGCUCCCUCUCUGGCACCAGAAGAGCUUUUGAUGAUGAUGAUGGACUUCGGGGGCACACAUUCCAUGUGGGCACAACUAGCUCUCGAUUUCCAAAAUCAAAACAACUUGAAACUGCCCUGGAGCAAAACUAAAUGAGUGCAAUAAUACCAGAGGAUUGAGCAACAUGCUAAGGACAUGUUGUUUCCUUUAAGGAUCCUGACUCUAAAUGAUGUCACUUAGAUAGCUGGGAUGUUUGUGAGCACUACAGGGCUUGGAAAGGGAAAGCAGAUCGGAAAAACACUGGGAAGCUGAACAAUUUGUUUUGUUUUAUGACUCCCUGGUAGUUUAAUGAGGGAGCUAUUACUCAUGCACUGUCACUGCACAUCUAGAAAAUUCCUCUGGGUUUCAAAACUGGCAAGAGAAAGUAGUUUCCUAAAAACCACUGAAUUAAUGAGAUAAAGCCCAUUGCUCAGGAGCCCCUGACAGGAAGGGUCAGAGGCGGAGCUGUGCAGGACUCACAGUGUGUUGGAAGCCUUCCCCACAGGGCGUUGCAAAGAGCAGAGUGCUGCUGGCCAUGGAGGAGUCAUACAGCAGAUAUGCUCUGCACCUCCCUUUUAGUGUGCAGUGAUUUGGGGAGAAAACUGAUUGGUUUGAUAGGAGGAAAUCCUUCCCCUCCGUUUGCCUUAUCUGGGGUACUAAACAGAUGAGAUUUAAAGUAAGGUU